rnacentral:rRNA from 1 species
CAUGUAGUCAUAUGCUUGUCUCAAAGAUUAAGCCAUGCAUGUCUAAGUAUAAGCACUUUAUACUGUGAAACUGCGAAUGGCUCAUUAAAUCAGUUAUCGUUUAUUUGAUAGUACCUUACUACAUGGAUACCUGUGGUAAUUCUAGAGCUAAUACAUGCUAAAAACCUCGACUUCGGAAGGGGUGUAUUUAUUAGAUAAAAAACCAAUGCCCUUCGGGGCUCCUUGGUGAUUCAUAAUAACUUAACGAAUCGCAUGGCCUUGCGCCGGCGAUGGUUCAUUCAAAUUUCUGCCCUAUCAACUUUCGAUGGUAGGAUAGUGGCCUACCAUGGUGGCAACGGGAAACGGGGAAU